ACUGAGCGGCGGACGGGUGAGUAACGCGUGGGUAACCUGCCUUACACAGGGGGAUAACAGUUAGAAAUGACUGCUAAUACCGCAUAAGACCCCGGUACCGCAUGGUACAGAGGUAAAAACUGAGGUGGUGUAAGAUGGACCCGCGUCCGAUUAGGUAGUUGGUGAGGUAACGGCUCACCAAGCCGACGAUCAGUAGCCGGCCUGAGAGGGUGGACGGCCACAUUGGGACUGAGACACGGCCCAGACUCCUACGGAAGGCAGCAG
rnacentral:rRNA from 1 species